UAUGAAUUUUUAAAUUGAUAUAAAUUGUAAAUUAAUAAAAAAAAUAAAAAUAGUAAUAGUGAAGAGAGAAAGGGGAAAGGUGUGGGUGGAUUUGCAGUGAAGUACGGAGGUAAAAAGAAGUCUAAAUUUGAAAUUUCUCAAGGUUUCUCGUUUCCCAAACAGACUUUUUAUUUAUUAUUAUAUUAGCAGCUGAGAAGAAGAAGAAGAAGAACCCAAAAAAACUGUAACAGGGACGACACAAAGAGCCAUCUUUAAGAUUUGAGCCUGGGUAUUCUGUGUCCAUAGCAGCAUCAUGAUGUCUUCUGUGCAUGAUCUUUCUGGUAUUUUUCUUAAGAUAUUUUUUGUCUGGUAUUUUUCUUCAGAUAUUUUUUGUUAAACAUAAGUUUGUACAAUAUUGUUCUAUGUUUUUUUUUUUUUUGGUCAUGCCAGAACCUUUAUUUUUCAUAUGGUAAGGUCUGUUAGGAAGGGUGUGGGGGAUAUUAUAAUUUUUGACAAGGUCUAAUUCACAUGAGAUGUGUCUUUGUGUCGAUGUAACUGGAGCUCAUUUAUCAGGUUCAUCAGUGAAGAAUCUGAUGUGCCCAGAAAAUUAGUGCCAGCCCAAAAGUUUUAUUUGUAACAUGCUGACCGCCUUUAACUUAUGGCUGCUGUACCCUGAGAAGAAAGAAGUGCAUGUGAAAAUUGUAAUAGUUGAUAUGUAGAUCAAAAGGGUUAAAAUAGUGAUGUCAAGACGUUUUGAUACCUUUUGGAUUAAUUUUCUUUUCCUUUGUUUUGAUUAGGUUUUGUAUUCAGAGAAAGAUUUCUUGUGCUUCACUUGUUUACUCUAUUAAUGAAAAUGUUUUUAUUUUUGAUAAAAAUAAAUAAAUAAAUAAAAAUCUUAUAAUUGAUUUCCUGUA